CCGCGUUGAGAUACCUCCCUUCAUGGGACCAGAGAUCUGACAAAUUCCUGCUUUAGCGUGCGCGAUAAACCAAACAUUAAGGCCAUCACCCAGGCAUACUAGCCUGUUUCGUUCAAUACUCAGCCAAGCGAGCAACCUGUUGAGGUGUCACUGGAGAAAGGGUGUAGGUCUAAUUAAAUUGUUUCAACUUGUCCAACGUGUUACGGCGCGGCUGGGAAACCAUACACUUUUGUCCAUACACUGAGGUCGAGGGAAUUUCAGUGUACUUGUAACUUGCAUUGCAGGUGAAGUCACAUAGCCAUGGUGCAGAUUUUGGCAUUGGCCUUUAUUACACUCAUGUCCAUUGCUUUGGCAGAGGACACUCAAAAUGCAGAGGAACAGCAAUUUACAUUUGAUUAUCAACAACUUCGUGUGGGAGGGCUCAUACUAGCAGCAGUCUUGUGUCUGAUUGGUGUCACUAUACUACUUAGUGGGCACUGCAGAUGCAAAAUCACCCGGAAAUAGAGGAAAGGACAGGAAGUAAUGCUGCUCAAUGACCCAGCAAGGGCCAAUGAAUGUUAAACCCUAAUCUGUGGCAGAGCUACUCUGCGUCUACCUGACUGAAGGGGGAGAGAGAACGGUGGAGAUACUGCAGUACCUUAUUACACCCCAGAGGUUGUAGUGUUAGUGUCUUUAAAAGAUACGAGUGUAUUCCCUAUCACCCAUUUGCUACCUACAUGGCUCCUCGUUUAGAAAUAGGACAUAUCACGUAGUAAGAUAACCUGCGUUUUUUGGGCUUUGCCCAAAUAUUUCUUUGAACCGACUUUUACCAAUACCACCUUAUGGCUAUAGGUGCGUCUUGCUUACCUUGCUUAAAAGAGAUUUGUCCCGAUUAUCAGUUUAAGCGAUACAGCCAAACUAUUAACCAGAAAGUAGAGCCGUUAUGUCAGUAGUUUCCUUCCUGUCAUGUUUAAAUUUAACAUUAAUGUAGACUACAGUGCUAUGUUACGCGUCUUAGAGGAAUCUAUGACAAAUACUAUAUACACCUAAUUGUAUUCACUCUAAAAAGCAUCUGUUUUAGCUUGUCUGUUAAUAUGGGUUCGUGCACUAUUUUCACGUUAUUUUCUAUUAUAUAAUAAAUUGUCAGAGACUAAAAGUCAAAA